GACGUAGGGUGCGAGCGUUGUCCGGAUUUAUUGGGCGUAAAGAGCUCGUAGGCGGUGUGUCGCGUCGGCCGUGAAAACCUGCAGCUUAACUGUGGGCUUGCGGUCGAUACGGGCAUCACUGGAGUUCGGCAGGGGAGACUGGAAUCCUGGUGUAGCGGUGAAAUGCGCAGAUAUCAGGAGGAACACCGGUGGCGAAGGCGGGUCUCUGGGCCGAUGACUGACGCUGAGGAGCGAAAGCGUGGGGAGCGAACAGG
rnacentral:rRNA from 1 species